rnacentral:lncRNA from 1 species
AGCAACAUUCUCCUUCAACAUUCAGGAGUACAGACAUAGAGAGCAAACCGAUCCUUGCCUAAUGGCACUCAUGCUGAAAUUUGCAGCCUGAGACUUGCAGCCUGCAGCUCUGCCAUUGGAUGACUGUGUUUUCAUGGCCAUCCUGUUAACUGCUUUGAAAAAGGGCCUGGAGAUGGACUGGUAUAUUCCAUUCGUGAAGUAUCAAUUAAGGACAAAUUAGCUUUGACAUGAGCAGCUAUAAGAACAGCAAAGUGAAAUAGAAAUGUUCAUGGUUUGUUUAAAAAGUAGAGGAAAGCCAUCAAUCUGCAAAAAGAGAACAAGAUCAUAAACUAUAUAUGCACAAGUUUCUGAUUUUAAAACAAAUUUGCUCAGCUCUUAAGAAAAGAAACUUUUAGCCAAGCAACACUGGAUUCUGAAGAGAACAAACACAGAUCUGGAUGACAUUCCAUUCUGUCCUAAAUCUAGGAGCCGGGGUUUUCAAAUGUAUACAAAUGUGGUAAAAUAAUUCUGAACCAUCUGUCCAAAUUGUUUUUGUGCAGUCAUUGAAUAAAGUC